GAGUCACCAGUGGGAGCCGGAGUCUCCACAGUAGACAUGAACACAGGAUAGCAGUAUUCUCAUUCUGGGCUUAGAGCAGAACUAAUGAGAUGCUAUAAUUGCCUACACCGCAUACCUGUUUCGCUGGGAGCGCAUUUCAAAGGUGCACGAAUUAGCCAUUGCCAGCUUCAUAAUUAGCGUGUGACAACUUUAAUUCCAACAGCAUGUUUAAUCAACAGCAACAGAUGGAAGUGUGCCUGGUGGUGCGGGAAUUGUGUCCAGAAGACAACCCUGAUGUGACUCAAGUUUCACAGUUUGUGAGCAACAGGAAUUCAAGCUCUUUGGUUUCUGGCACCCAUGCUGGGUAAUUGUGUUCGACUAUAAUAAAAACCACUUUUGUAGA